UAGGGAAUCUUCCACAAUGGACGCAAGUCUGAUGGAGCAACGCCGCGUGAGUGAAGAAGGUCUUCGGAUCGUAAAGCUCUGUUGUUGGUGAAGAAGGAUAGAGGCAGUAACUGGUCUUUAUUUGACGGUAAUCAACCAGAAAGUCACGGCUAACUACGUGCCAGCAGCCGCGGUAAUACGUAGGUGGCAAGCGUUGUCCGGAUUUAUUGGGCGUAAAGCGAGCGCAGGCGGAAUGAUAAGUCUGAUGUGAAAGCCCACGGCUCAACCGUGGAACUGCAUCGGAAACUGUCAUUCUUGAGUGCAGAAGAGGAGAGUGGAACUCCAUGUGUAGCGGUGGAAUGCGUAGAUAUAUGGAAGAACACCAGUGGCGAAGGCGGCUCUCUGGUCUGCAACUGACGCUGAGGCUCGAAAGCAUGGGUAGCGAACAGGAUUAGAUACCCUGGUAGUCCAUGCCGUAAACGGUGAGCGCUAGGUGUUGGGGACUUUCCGGUCCUCAGUGCCGCAGCAAACGCAUUAAGCGCUCCGCCUGGGGAGUACGACCGCAAGGUUGAAAC
rnacentral:rRNA from 1 species